CACACAACACAGUGUGUUGUUCAUGUCAAAACAAACCGUUUCUUAAAUUAAAUUAAUUUUAGUUUUCCUGAGUCAGCACUCUAGGCCGGUCUUCUAAUGAACGUGUUUGUGUGGAACAGCUGAACUUUGAGAAGUCACCUCAGGUUCAACUCCCUCUGUCUCUGUGUCCCACACAUGAUCUGUGCUAAUUAUUAAUUCUCACAUUACCAAUCCUGUCCUAGUCGCUCCUUUGGGCUCUGUAUAACAUCAAAUUAUAACCAAAUAUAAAUACAAGAUUCUCAGCAGUCAACAGGUCACUAAAGAAGACUGGGUCUAAUCAGAGUACAUUUUAUUUAUGUAGCCAGGGGUCAGGGCCAGCAAGGCUGGCCUAACAUAAAGUUGAUAAAAGUUGAUUACAUUUUUAAUUUACUUUUCCUAAAUACAUAAAAGCAUACUUCAUAUUCUCUUCUUGUCAUAUUAGACUCCUUCCAGUGUUGUUGUUUUAGGUUAGAGUUUUUAUCCAAUCAGAAUUCAGCUAGCUGUUGUAAGGCUGUAUGAAAUCUGCCCGAGGCCUUCAGAAUCAACGGGCGUCUAUGCUAUGGAAGCGAACCGAAGCGAACGGGCUCAUACAGUUGAUAGACAAUUGCGAUAGACAAUCAGAUCACGAGUUGUUGACAGAAGGCCUUCUAGCUGGCCUCACGUUGAACGUGACAUGUAUGCGCCCUGUGAUUGGAUACUCGCUUACCGCCAUAAAACAACAAGAAGUAAAUUCAACAUCCCGAUUAACAGAGAGAAAAAUCUAAUAUCUACUCGCUUUUUUGUGCCACAAUGGUUGAAGGAGGGCAAAACGUGGAUUUGCGAACUUAAAUUGCUUGACUAAGGCAGCAAUAAGAUGUUGAAAUAAGUGUUUUGGAGGACAGUUGAUUUGAGAGAGGAGAUAAAGCAGACUCAGAUGUUGGAGAACUUGAGCCAUGAUCAGGACCAGCACAGACGUGAGAGACGAUCCCGGUGGACUGAGUCUCAGCUGCCUGGUGUUUACAUAUACGGACUCUGUGCAGGAGCAAAGGGUGCCCUCUGGUGGACAUGUACCCAAAUUACCUUCUGUUCAAAGCUGGAUAUCGUGGAUAUAGAUAUCACGUUGGUGACAGCGAGUCCACGCCCAUGACACAGG